rnacentral:rRNA from 1 species
UACGUAGGGUGCAAGCGUUUGUCCGGAAUUAUUGGGCGUAAAGAGCUCGUAGGCGGUUUGUCGCGUCGAAUGUGAAAACCCGGGGCUCAACCCCGGGCCUGCAUUCGAUACGGGCAGACUAGAGUUCGGUAGGGGAGUCUGGAAUUCCUGGUGUAGCGGUGAAAUUCGUAGAUAUCGAGAGGAACACCGGUGGCGAAGGCGCCUUCUGGACAGUGACUGACGCUGAGACGCGAAAGCGUGGGGAGCAAACAGG